rnacentral:rRNA from 1 species
UACGAAGGUCCCAAGCGUUAUCCGGAUUUAUUGGGUUUAAAGGGUGCGUAGGCGGGCUAUUAAGUCAGUGGUGAAAUCUCCGAGCCUAACUCGGAAAUUGCCAUUGAUACUGAUGGUCUUGAGUACAUUUGAAGUGGGCGGAAUGUGUCAUGUAGCGGUGAAAUGCUUAGAUAUGACACAGAACACCGAUUGCGAAGGCAGCUUACUAAACAAUCAUUGACGCUGAGGCACGAAAGCGUGGGGAUCAAACAGG